UACGAAGGGGGCUAGCGUUGCUCGGAAUUACUGGGCGUAAAGCGCACGUAGGUGGCGAUUCAAGUUAGAUGUGAAAGGCCCGGGCUCAACCCGGGAACUGCAUUUGAUACUGAAUUGCUAGAGUCCAAGAGAGGGUAGUGGAAUUCCCAGUGUAGAGGUGAAAUUCGUAGAUAUUGGGAAGAACACCAGUGGCGAAGGCGACUUACUGGACACAUAUUGACGCUGAGGUGCGAAAGCGUGGGGAGCAAACAGG
rnacentral:rRNA from 1 species